GUGCUCACUUCAGCAGCACAUAAACUAAAAUUGGAAUGAUACAAAGAUUAGCAUAGCCCCCAUGCAAGCAUGACAUACAAAUUUGUGAAGCAUUCCAUAUUUUU